AAUACAGUGCCCGCAAUGCAUUAUGUCUUUGAGAUCUAACACCACAGGCAACCCACUCCUUUAAAAAAUGCCAUAAAACGCUGAAAUAUUCAAGUAAAUGAAAGACAGGAAAGUGCAGGUGAUAAAUUUUUCUUGUCUGUUCCAACCUUUGAGAAUACUUUUCACGAAGUUUUGUUAAUUUUAUAAAUUGUUUAAAGCAUGCGGGAGCUCUUUGGGAUGCGAGGGACUGGGACUGACAACGUAGGCCUUAGCGCGGAAAAUGCGAAAUACAAAAUGACGAAGAAGAAUGCGCUUUUUCCAGAUUAUUGGAAAAUAACUUCUAUUUUUACAUGAACCGAAACCUCCUCAAAAGUGAGCUUGUUAGAAAAAGAAAGACGGAAAGUUUUAAGACAAGAUACGUGCCGAAAUGUGCGGGAAACUAAAAGAUGUGCAUCUAUAAAUUCACACACGUGGUAUAGUGACGAGAAGAGGUAAUGAACAAUCUAGGCAGGGUACUCUAUGUUUAUACGACAUCCCUUUGGUGGAGCUUGCGGCAAAGGCUUUGUGGUGCCGGUUAAACCUGAGAAUUGGUAGGACCCCAAGGUACAGAUAGAGCACAUCAAACGGCAGAAUUGAGAUCAAGUCCAGCAUAAACCCAAACGAGCAGCCGUAUUUUUUGGUCAACUUCCAGCAUCCUACUACCAUGACACCAUGCUCCAGGAAGCCUACCCUGAACUGGACAAGGGUGUCCAGGAAGAAGAUGGAGUCGAACGUAUAAUCAACUGCGAUGCACGUCUUCAGGUUCGCCUUGUGCACUGAUGAUGACAAUGUUAAUUUUUGUAAGACUCCUUUGCGCGGGAGUGGAAUCAUAGAAAUGUUUUCUAAAGAGAAUUGUGAUUAUUAUGAUAGAUGAGAAUGAGUAUUUAAGAGGGCGUCUUGUAAUUUAUAUUAAAAGGAUAAUAUUUUUUUA